GGAAAGGGAAUUUUGUGUUUACUCACUGCCUGUAACAAUGCAUUUUUGUAGUGCUGGUAGUUGUCAUUUUUUUGCAAUCAGUUAGCUGGCUAUCUUAGUUCAACUAGAUAAUCGUCUGAGUUAACUUUUUGUGCUCCCAGGGCCAACUUGUUAAUGCAGAUGUGUUCAAUUGUGGUAAAGGUUUUGGCAGUAAAUUAUGCAAAAAAAUUAAAAGUACUCAAGUUCAAUUUGCAAACCAAUAGUAGUCCUAUAGUGCAACAUGCAUCAGCUUAAAAAAUAGCAAACUUGACUUGAAGCAAGGAAACAUAAAUUGACAGCAAGGAAAAUGCAUCAUCGUCGAUUUGUUCCGCCUUUGUAAUUUUUAUUUUUAUUUGGGGACUGAGUGACUGCAGUUUACUGAAGGAUUUCGAUAUUCUGAUGGUGUGCUUUCUUAGCAGAAGUUCAAGAUGCUUGUUCAAAUGUGAUAUAUAACGAAAAUGGUAAAAGAUGAAUUGUGUUUUCUCAUAGAAAAAUGAUGCUCUGUAGGUGGUAUAGCAGUUCGCCAUGUAUAUCUGACAUCCGUUCAUAAAAGGACAAGUAUGUACCGAUGCUAGAAAUGAUGCUUUGUAGAAUUUCUUCUAAUCUAGUUCGAAUUUGGUCUACUUGUGUAAUUCUGUCAGUUCAUGACAAGUAUGUACCGAUGCUAGAAAUGUAGGUCAUUUGUGAAUCUUGCUUUUUCAGAGAGAAAAAGAGUUUGUGGUUGCAUCACAUGGUGUACUGAGCAACAUAUACAUGGUGUAGUGAACAAACAUAGGCAUUCACAUAAACAUGCAGCAACUCCUCUUGCUAUUCUCGUGCUUGUACUUGUUUAUUCUCUUGCAAUUUCUUUUUUAGUUCAGUUCAGACACUAAAAAUUGGUUCUGUUACAUUCUCUUAUUUUAGUUCAGUUCAAUUUCUAAUUUUAGUUUAAUUCAACUAGGUGUGUUUUCUGCAGAUGGAUUUAGUUCAGUUCAAAAUCUAAUUUUAGUUCGUUUCAGUUGGACGCCAUGGGUAAACGCAGCGCCACCGGCCUCAAAAGGCCCUUCUCCCGCUACUGUCUCGAUCUUCAACCGUUGUUGUUGUCGUCUGUAUACCUCCUUCCCUGAUGUUGAUUUUACAAAAGGAUCAGUGAAGCAUUGGGCAAUGGACACACUAUCUUCAUGAGAUGGUGUACUGCACAACAUACUUCCAUUAGUUGAAGAUGAUACAUGGAGCAGUGACCGCUCAACAAUUUUUUUGUGAUAAAUGUUAUUAUGAUCUAUUCUAUGUAUUAUAUUGUAUGAUCGGGAGAACUCAGAAGUUCAUGUGUUGUCGGUGGAAAAUUUCAAAACAGUUUGUUUAGUAUGAACUUUUUUAUCAAAUGAUAAACCUAUGUUAAUGAAAAACAGUAGUUGAGACGA